CCUACGGGGGGCUGCAGUGGGGAAUAUUGGACAAUGGGCGAAAGCCUGAUCCAGCAACGCCGCGUGAGGGAUGACGGCCUUCGGGUUGUAAACCUCUUUCAGCAGGGACGAAGCGAGAGUGACGGUACCUGCAGAAGAAGGACCGGCCAACUACGUGCCAGCAGCCGCGGUAAUACGUAGGGUCCGAGCGUUGUCCGGAAUUAUUGGGCGUAAAGGGCUCGUAGGCGGUUUGUCGCGUCGGGAGUGAAAACUCAGGGCUCAACCCUGAGCGUGCUUCCGAUACGGGCAGACUAGAGGUAUGCAGGGGAGAACGGAAUUCCUGGUGUAGCGGUGGAAUGCGCAGAUAUCAGGAGGAACACCGGUGGCGAAGGCGGUUCUCUGGGCAUUACCUGACGCUGAGGAGCGAAAGCAUGGGGAGCGAACAGGAUUAGA
rnacentral:rRNA from 1 species